GGAUACAUAACUCAGAAGGCAAGAGUGUCAUGUUGACAUCGUGAAAGUCACUGGUUCAAGUCCAGUUGUAUCCA
rnacentral:tRNA from 1 species